CUACGGGUGGCAGCAGUGGGGAAUAUUUGACAAUGGGCGAAAGCCUGAUCCAGCCAUGCCGCGUGUGUGAAGAAGGCGUUCGGGUUGUAAAGCACUUUCAGUGGGGAAGAAAGCCUUGGGGCUAAUACCCUCGAGGAAGGACAUCACCCACAGAAGAAGCACCGGCUAACUCCGUGCCAGCAGCCGCGGUAAUACGGAGGGUGCGAGCGUUAAUCGGAAUUACUGGGCGUAAAGCGCGCGUAGGCGGUCUGAUAAGCCGGUUGUGAAAGCCCCGGGCUCAACCUGGGAACGGCAUCCGGAACUGUCAGGCUAGAGUGCAGGAGAGGAAGGUAGAAUUCCCGGUGUAGCGGUGAAAUGCGUAGAGAUCGGGAGGAAUACCAGUGGCGAAGGCGGCCUUCUGGACUGACACUGACGCUGAGGUGCGAAAGCGUGGGUAGCAAACAGGAUUAGAUACCCUGGUAGUC
rnacentral:rRNA from 1 species